GACGAACGCUGGCGGCGUGCUUAACACAUGCAAGUCGAACGGAAAGGCCAGUGCUUGCACUGGUACUCGAGUGGCGAACGGGUGAGUAACACGUGGGUGAUCUGCCUUGCACUCUGGGAUAAGCUUGGGAAACUGGGUCUAAUACCGGAUAGGAACCGUCUUUAGUGUGGUGGUUGGAAAGUUUUUUCGGUGCAAGAUGAGCUCGCGGCCUAUCAGCUUGUUGGUGGGGUAAUGGCCUACCAAGGCGUCGACGGGUAGCCGGCCUGAGGGGGUGUACGGCCACAUUGGGACUGAGAUACGGCCCAGACUCCUACGGGAGGCAGCAGUGGGGAAUAUUGCACAAUGGGCGGAAGCCUGAUGCAGCGACGCCGCGUGGGGGAUGACGGCCUUCGGGUUGUAAACUCCUUUCGACAGGGACGAAGCGCAAGUGACGGUACCUGUAUAAGAAGCACCGGCUAACUACGUGCCAGCAGCCGCGGUAAUACGUAGGGUGCGAGCGUUGUCCGGAAUUACUGGGCGUAAAGAGCUCGUAGGUGGUUUGUCGCGUCGUCUGUGAAAUUCCGGGGCUUAACUCCGGGCGUGCAGGCGAUACGGGCAUAACUUGAGUGCUGUAGGGGAGACUGGAAUUCCUGGUGUAGCGGUGAAAUGCGCAGAUAUCAGGAGGAACACCGAUGGCGAAGGCAGGUCUCUGGGCAGUUACUGACGCUGAGGAGCGAAAGCAUGGGUAGCGAACAGGAUUAGAUACCCUGGUAGUCCAUGCCGUAAACGGUGGGCGCUAGGUGUAGGGGGCUUCCACGUCUUCUGUGCCGUAGCUAACGCAUUAAGCGCCCCGCCUGGGGAGUACGGCCGCAAGGCCAAAACUCAAAGGAAUUGACGGGGGCCCGCACAAGCGGCGGAGCAUGUGGAUUAAUUCGAUGCAACGCGAAGAACCUUACCUGGGCUUGACAUACACCGGAUCGCUGCAGAGAUGUAGUUUCCCUUGUGGUUGGUGUACAGGUGGUGCAUGGUUGUCGUCAGCUCGUGUCGUGAGAUGUUGGGUUAAGUCCCGCAACGAGCGCAACCCUUGUCUUAUGUUGCCAGCAUUUGGUUGGGGACUCAUGAGAGACUGCCGGGGUUAACUCGGAGGAAGGUGGGGAUGACGUCAAAUCAUCAUGCCCCUUAUGUCCAGGGCUUCACACAUGCUACAAUGGUCGGUACAACGCGCAGCGGCACUGUGAGGUGGAGCGAAUCGCUGAAAGCCGGUCUUAGUUCGGAUUGGGGCCCGCAACUCGACCCCAUGAAGUCGGAGUCGCUAGUAAUCGUAGAUCAGCAAUGCUGCGGUGAAUACGUUCCCGGGCCU
rnacentral:rRNA from 1 species